UACGUAGGGGGCGAGCGUUGUCCGGAAUGACUGGGCGUAAAGGGCGCGUAGACGGCUUUUUAAGUCUGGAGUGAAAGUCCUGCUUUCAAGGUGGGAAUUGCUUUGGAGACUGGAAGGCUUGAGUGCGGAAGAGGUAAGUGGAAUUCCCAGUGUAGCGGUGAAAUGCGUAGAGAUUGGGAGGAACACCAGUGGCGAAGGCGACUUACUGGGCCGUAACUGACGUUGAUGCGCGAAAGCGUGGGGAGCGAAC
rnacentral:rRNA from 1 species